AACGAACGCUGGCGGCAUGCCUAACACAUGCAAGUCGAACGAGACCUUCGGGUCUAGUGGCGCACGGGUGCGUAACGCGGGGGAACCUGCCCUUAGGUUCGGAAUAACUCCCCGAAAGGGGUGCUAAUAACGGAUAAUGUCUUCGGACCAAAGAUUUAUGGCCUUUGGAUGGGGCCGCGUUGGAUUAGCUAGUUGGUAGGGGAAAAGCCUACCAAGGCGACGUUCCAUAGCUGGUCUGAGAGGAUGAUCAGCCAGACUGGGACUGAGACACGGCCCAGACUCCUACGGGAGGCAGCAGUGGAGAAUAUUGGACAAUGGGCGAAAGCCUGAUCCAGCAAUGCGGGGUGAGUGAGGAAGGGCUUAGGGUUGUAAAGCUCUUUUAGCCGGGAUGAUAAUGACAGUACCGGGAGAAUAAGCUCCGGCUAACUCCGUG
rnacentral:rRNA from 1 species